UCCUCUUGCCCACUCUUUGGGAGCCCAGAGAGUCUCCACCGAAACUUUCCGCUCCUCCCCUCUCAUCCCUGCGUCUGGCCGGGACUCUGCAGGCUGAGGGGAGAGAUUUUAGCAAUAGAAGUUGGGCUGAAAACAAAUUUAGAGUCCCUUUAUAUUAAUAAUAAGAAGAAGGAAGCAUGGAUUAUUGGAUAAGAGCUUGGGACUGGGAGUCACAAGGACCUGGGUUUUAAUCCUGGCUCUGUGACUUCGCUUCUCUGUGCCUCAGUUCCCUCAUCUGUAAACUGGAGAUUAAGACUGCGAGCCCCCAUAUGGGACGUGAACUGUGUCCAAUAUGAUUACAUUGUAUCUGCCCCAGCACUUAAUACAGUGCCUGGCACAUAAUAAGUGCUUAAGAAAUACCAUUAAAAUUAAAAAAUUGGACCCUGAGUGUGUGCGUGUAUGUGUGUGUGUGUCUUAUAUCAGCUUGUGUAUCUGUGGGUGUCUCUGAGUGUACGUGCAGCCAUCGUGGAUGCCUGAUUCUGGGCGCGGGGCCCCUUGCACCCCUCGUAUCUCGAUGGGUCAAGUCCUUCCCUUUGCCCCAGGCCCUGCAAGUCGGCUGAUAACCGAGCUCUCCCGGGCCCCGCCCCCGACAGCAUCAUCCCGACACAUCUGCGAAGAGAAUGCCCACCCGGACGCGGCCCCGUCCCCCAAGUGUGGAUUCGGGUUGUUGUGUGGUAGUCAUAUCUGUCUAUCCUGCGAAGCAGCAGAGUCUCGUGGGAAGAGCCCGGGCCUAGGAGUCAGAGGACCUGGCUUCCAAACCCUGCUCCGCCACUUGUCAGCUGUGUGACUUUGGGCAAGUCACUUCACUUCUCUGUGCCUCGGUUACCUCAUCUGUAAAAUGGGGAUGAAGACCGUGAGCCCCACGUGGGACGACCUGAUCACCUUGUAUCCCCCCAGCGCUUAGAACAGUGCUUUGCACAUAGUAAGCGCUUAACCGAUACCAUCAUUAUUAUUAAUUGCUUGCCGUGACCUUGGGCAAGACACUCAACUUCUCUGUGCCUCAGUUUCUGCAACUGUAAAAUGGAGAUGGAAUAUUGAGUACCUGUUCCCCCUCCUACUUAGAUUGUGAGCCCCGUGUGGGGCAGGGACUGUGUCCAACCUGCUCAAUUUGUAUCUACCGCACUGCUUAAACAGGGCUUGACAUAAGGUAAGCGCUGAACAAAUAAUAAUAAUAAUUUAAAA
rnacentral:lncRNA from 1 species